rnacentral:rRNA from 1 species
AACGAACGCUGGCGGCAGGCUUAACACAUGCAAGUCGAACGGUUGUAGCAAUACAGCAGUGGCGCACGGGUGAGUAACACGUGGGAAUAUCCCUUUCAGUACGGAAUAACGUCGGGAAACUGACGCUAAUACCGUAUACACCUCCGGGUGAAAGAUUUAUCGCUGAAAGAUUAGCCCGCGUCAGAUUGGCUAGUUGGUGGGGUAACGGCCUACCAAGGCUCCGAUCUGUAGCUGGUCUUAGAGGACGAUCAGCCACACUGGAACUGAGACACGGUCCAGACUCCUACGGGAGGCAGCAGUGGGGAAUAUUGGACAAUGGGCGCAAGCCUGAUCCAGCCAUGCCGCGUGAGUGAUGAAGGCCUUAGGGUUGUAAAGCUCUUUCACCGAUGAAGAUAAUGACGGUAGUCGGAGAAGAAGCCCCGGCUAACUUCGUGCCAGCAGCCGCCGUAACAC